AAAUUGAAGAGUUUGAUCAUGGCUCAGAUUGAACGCUGGCGGCAGGCCUAACACAUGCAAGUCGAACGGUAACAGGAAGCAGCUUGCUGCUUCGCUGACGAGUGGCGGACGGGUGAGUAAUGUCUGGGAAACUGCCUGAUGGAGGGGGAUAACUACUGGAAACGGUAGCUAAUACCGCAUAAUGUCGCAAGACCAAAGAGGGGGACCUUCGGGCCUCUUGCCAUCGGAUGUGCCCAGAUGGGAUUAGCUUGUUGGUGGGGUAACGGCUCACCAAGGCGACGAUCCCUAGCUGGUCUGAGAGGAUGACCAGCCACACUGGAACUGAGACACGGUCCAGACUCCUACGGGAGGCAGCAGUGGGGAAUAUUGCACAAUGGGCGCAAGCCUGAUGCAGCCAUGCCGCGUGUAUGAAGAAGGCCUUCGGGUUGUAAAGUACUUUCAGCGGGGAGGAAGGGAG
rnacentral:rRNA from 1 species